ACUCAAAUGAAUAGACGGGGGCCCGCACAAGCGGUGGAGCAUGUGGUUUAAUUCGAUGCAACGCGAAAAACCUUACCUGGUCUUGACAUCCACAAAAUUUUUUAGAAAUAAAAAAGUGCCUUCGGGAAUUGUGAGACAGGUGCUGCAUGGCUGUCGUCAGCUCGUGUUGUGAAAUGUUGGGUUAAGUCCCGCAACGAGCGCAACCCUUAUCCCCUGUUGCCAGCGGUUCGGCCGGGAACUCAGGGGAGACUGCCGGUUAUAAACCGGAGGAAGGUGGGGACGACGUCAAGUCAUCAUGGCCCUUACGACCAGGGCUACACACGUGCUACAAUGGUUUAUACAAAGAGAAGCAAAUCUGCAAAGACAAGCAAACCUCAUAAAGUAAAUCGUAGUCCGGACUGGAGUCUGCAACUCGACUCCACGAAGUCGGAAUCGCUAGUAAUCGUGGAUCAGAAUGCCACGGUGAAUACGUUCCCGGGCCUUGUACACACCGCCCGU
rnacentral:rRNA from 1 species